rnacentral:rRNA from 1 species
GUGAACGCUGGCGGUCGGCCUAACACAUGCAAGUCGCACGGCAGCACAGUAAGAGCUUGCUCUUACGGGUGGCGAGUGGCGGACGGGUGAGGAAUACAUCGGAAUCUACUUUUUCGUGGGGGAUAACGUAGGGAAACUUACGCUAAUACCGCAUACGACCUACGGGUGAAAGCAGGGGAUCUUCGGACCUUGCGCGAGUGAAUGAGCCGAUGUCGGAUUAGCUAGUUGGCGGGGUAAAGGCCCACCAAGGCGACGAUCCGUAGCUGGUCUGAGAGGAUGAUCAGCCACACUGGAACUGAGACACGGUCCAGACUCCUACGGGAGGCAGCAGUGGGGAAUAUUGGACAAAGGGCGCAAGCCUGAUCCAGCCAUACCGCGUGGGUGAAGAAGGCCUUCGGGUUGUAAAGCCCUUUUGUUGGGAAAGAAAAGCAGCAGGUUAAUACCCCGCUGUUCUGACGGUACCCAAAGAAUAAGCACCGGCUAACUUCGUG